rnacentral:rRNA from 1 species
AGCAGCCGCGGUAAUUCCAGCUCCAAUAGCGUAUAUUAAAGUUGUUGCAGUUAAAAAGCUCGUAGUUGAAUUUCGAGAUCGGCUUACUGGUCGUGCUAUUGUACGUACUGGUAUAAUCGGUUUCUCCUUUCUGACGAACUAUAAUGCCAUUAAUUUGGUGUUUUAGGGAAUCAGGACUGUUACUUUGAAAAAAUUAGAGUGUUUAAAGCAGGCUCACGCUUGAAUACAUUAGCAUGGAAUAACGGAAUAGGACGUUUGAUUCUAUUUUGUUGGUUUCUAGGAUCGACGUAAUGAUUAAUAGGGAUAGUUGGGGGCAUUAGUAUUCAAUUGUCAGAGGUGAAAUUCUUGGAUUUAUUGAAGACUAACUACUGCGAAAGCAUUUGCCAAGGAUGUUUUCAUUAAUCAAGAACGAAAGUUAGGGGAUCGAAGACGAUCAGAUACCGUCGUAGU